CCAGUUAUCUUCAACUUUUUACCCUCUCUUGCAGCAAAUGCUUGCAUUGCAGCAGUCACUAGUUUCUCAGACCAAUCGACAGCAAUCAACUCAGGAUCCAACUCAGACUGGUGGUGCUACAGGAACCCCCAAUAAUGGUGCUGGACUGGAGAUGCUGAUGAACAUGUUUGGUGGUCUUGGAGCUGGCAGCUUGGCUGCACCAGUCAGCAAUGUACCACCGGAGGAACGUUAUGCAACUCAGCUGUCACAACU